UGGUUCUCGCAUCGAUGAAGAACGCAGCGAAAUGCGAUAAGUAAUGUGAAUUGCAGAAUUCAGUGAAUCAUCGAAUCUUUGAACGCAUCUUGCGCCCCUUGGUAUUCCGAGGGGCAUGCCUGUUUGAGUGUCAUUAAAUUAUCAACCAUACCGAUUUAUUUUGGUUUAUGGAUUGGAUGUGGGGGUUAUUUUUGCCGGCUUUAACAAGUCAGCUCCCCUGAAAUGCAUUAGUGGUUAGCCCUCAUGGUUUAAAACGGCUAUUUGGUGUGAUAUCUAUCUACUCCAAGUGUAACUCCGUCCAUGGUGCGAUUAAUAACGCGCAUGAAUGGCAAUAUACUGCUUCUAACCGUCCAUUGACUUGGACAAUAUUAAUGACGAUUUUGACCUCAAAUCAGGUAGGAUUACCCGCUGA
rnacentral:misc_RNA from 1 species